UACGUAGGGUGCAAGCAUUGUCCGGAAUUAUUGGGCGUAAAGAGCUCGUAGGCGGCCUGUCGCGUCGGAUGUGAAAGCCCGGGGCUUAACCCCGGGUCUGCAUUCGAUACGGGCAGGCUGGAGUUCGGUAGGGGAGAUCGGAAUUCCUGGUGUAGCGGUGAAAUGCGCAGAUAUCAGGAGGAACACCGGUGGCGAAGGCGGAUCUCUGGACCAGUUCUGACACUGAUGAGCGAAAGCCAGGGGAGCAAACAGG
rnacentral:rRNA from 1 species